rnacentral:rRNA from 1 species
UCCAGCAGCUAACUCUCUGCAACUCUCACAUGGUCGCCCACUGAAGGUAAGCUUGGCUGCGCAUGGUCAAUACCUGGAUGGGAGACUGCAUGGGAAAGCUAGCUUGCUGCCUGUA